rnacentral:rRNA from 1 species
GACGAACGCUGGCGGCGUGCUUAACACAUGCAAGUCGAACGGAAAGGCCCUGCUUUUGUGGGGUGCUCGAGUGGCGAACGGGUGAGUAACACGUGAGUAACCUGCCCUUGACUUUGGGAUAACUUCAGGAAACUGGGGCUAAUACCGGAUAGGAGCUCCUGCUGCAUGGUGGGGGUUGGAAAGUUUCGGCGGUUGGGGAUGGACUCGCGGCUUAUCAGCUUGUUGGUGGGGUAGUGGCUUACCAAGGCUUUGACGGGUAGCCGGCCUGAGAGGGUGACCGGCCACAUUGGGGCUGAAAUACGGCCCAGACUACAACGGGAGGCAGCAGUGGGGAAUAUUGCACAAUGGGAGGAAGCCUGAUGCAGCAACGCCGCGGGCGGGAUGACGGCCUUCGGGUUGUAAACCGCUUUCGCCUGUGACGAAGCGUGAGUGACGGUAAUGGGUAAAGAAGCACCGGCUAACUACGUG